AGUGAACGCUGGCGGUAGGCCUACCCCUGCAAGUCGAACGGCAGCACAGUAAGAGCUUGCUCUUACGGGUGGCGAGUGGCGGACGGGUGAGGAAUACAUCGGAAUCUACUUUUUCGUGGGGGAUAACGUAGGGAAACUUACGCUAAUACCGCAUACGACCUACGGGUGAAAGCAGGGGAUCUUCGGACCUUGCGCGAUUGAAUGAGCCGAUGUCGGAUUAGCUAGUUGGCGGGGUAAAGGCCCACCAAGGCGACGAUCCGUAGCUGGUCUGAGAGGAUGAUCAGCCACACUGGAACUGAGACACGGUCCAGACUCCUACGGGAGGCAGCAGUGGGGAAUAUUGGACAAUGGGCGCAAGCCUGAUCCAGCCAUACCGCGUGGGUGAAGAAGGCCUUCGGGUUGUAAAGCCCUUUUGUUGGGAAAGAAAAGCAGCAGGUUAAUACCCCGCUGUUCUGACGGUACCCAAAGAAUAAGCACCGGCUAACUUCGUG
rnacentral:rRNA from 1 species